GAUGAAGAAGUAGCGAAAUGCGAUAAGUAAUGUGAAUUGCAGAAUUCAGUGAAUCAUCGAAUCUUUGAACGCACAUUGCGCCCGCCAGCACUCUGGCGGGCAUGCCUGUUCGAGCGUCAUUUCAACCAUCAAGCCCCCAGGGGCUUGUGCUGGGGCCCUGCGGCUGCCCGCAGGCCCUGAAAACCAGUGGCGGGCUCGCUAGUCACACCGAGCGCAGUAGCACAUCUCGCUCAGGGCGUGCGGCGGGCUCCUGCCGUGAAACCCCCCACUGUAACCCCAAAGGUUGACCUCGGAUCAGGUAGGAAUACCCGCUGAACUUAAGCAUAUCAAUAAGCGGAGGA
rnacentral:misc_RNA from 1 species